rnacentral:tRNA from 1 species
UAGAUGUAGCUAUAAAAGUAGAUGUUUUGAAAACAUUUGAUAAGGUAUUGAGGUUUUAACAGGGC